rnacentral:rRNA from 1 species
CCCUUAGAUGUUCUGGGCCGCACGCGUGCUACACUGAGUGGAUCAGCGGGUCAGGUUACGCGAGAGCGUUUCCUAAUCUUCAAAUCCGCUCGUGAUGGGGAUUGACGGUUGCAAUUUUCCGUCAUGAACGAGGAAUACCUUGUAAGCGCGGGUCAUCAUCCCGCGCUGAAUACGUCCCUGCCCUUUGUACACACCGCCCGUCGCUCCUACCGAUUGAGUGGUCCGGUGAGGCUUUGGGAUCUAAGCGAAAAGAGCGUUUCGCUCCUUUUGCUGGGAGAACUCAGUCGAACCUUAUCAUUUAGAGGAAGGAGAAGUCGUAACG